AGAGUUUGAUCAUGGCUCAGAUUGAACGCUGGCGGCAUGCUUUACACAUGCAAGUCGAACGGCAGCGCGGGGCAACCUGGCGGCGAGUGGCGAACGGGUGAGUAAUAUAUCGGAACGUACCCAAGAGUGGGGGAUAACGUAGCGAAAGUUACGCUAAUACCGCAUACGAUCCAAGGAUGAAAGCAGGGGAUCUUCGGACCUUGUGCUCCUGGAGCGGCCGAUAUCUGAUUAGCUAGUUGGUGAGGUAAAGGCUCACCAAGGCCACGAUCAGUAGCUGGUCUGAGAGGACGACCAGCCACACUGGAACUGAGACACGGUCCAGACUCCUACGGGAGGCAGCAGUGGGGAAUUUUGGACAAUGGGCGAAAGCCUGAUCCAGCAAUGCCGCGUGAGUGAAGAAGGCCUUCGGGUUGUAAAGCUCUUUUGUCAGGGAAGAAACGGUGAGGGCUAAUAUCCCUCGCUAAUGACGGUACCUGAAGAAUAAGCACCGGCUAACUACGUGCCAGCAGCCGCGGUAAUACGUAGGGUGCAAGCGUUAAUCGGAAUUACUGGGCGUAAAGCGUGCGCAGGCGGUUUUGUAAGUCUGACGUGAAAUCCCCGGGCUCAACCUGGGAAUUGCGUUGGAGACUGCAAGGCUAGAAUCUGGCAGAGGGGGGUAGAAUUCCACGUGUAGCAGUGAAAUGCGUAGAGAUGUGGAGGAACACCGAUGGCGAAGGCAGCCCCCUGGGUCAAGAUUGACGCUCAUGCGCGAAAGCGUGGGGAGCAAACAGGAUUAGAUACCCUGGUAGUCC
rnacentral:rRNA from 1 species